UGUUGUUGCAAUGGUAAUCCUGCUCAGUACGAGAGGAACCGCAGGUUCAGACAUUUGGUGCGUGUGCUUGGCUGAGGAGCCAAUAUUAUGGGAUUAUGACUGAACGCCUCUAAGUCAGAAUCCCGCCUAGACGUGACGAUACCCUAGCGCUGCGGAACUUCGGUUGGCCCGGGAUAGCCGGCUUUGGCCGGUGCGGAGAGCCGUUCGUGACAGGGCUGGGGUGCGGCCCAAAAGCGGUCGCCCCUCUCCCAUUGCGCACUGCAUGUUUGUGGAGAACCUGGUGCUAAAUCACUUGUAGACGACCUGAUUCUGGGUCAGGGUUUCGUGCGUAGCAGAGCAGCUCCCUCGCUGCGAUCUAUUGAAAGUCAUCCCUCGAUCCAAGCUUUU
rfam:Oryzias latipes DNA, chromosome13, strain: Hd-rR.